GAUGAAGAACGUAGUGAAAUGCGAUACGUAAUGUGAAUUGCAGAAUUCAGUGAAUCAUCGAGUCUUUGAACGCACAUUGCGCCCCCUGGUAUUCCGGGGGGCAUGCCUGUCCGAGCGUCAUUGCUGCCCUCAAGCACGGCUUGUGUGUUGGGCCUCCGUCCUCCUCCCGGGGGACGGGCCCGAAAGGCAGCGGCGGCACCGCGUCCGGUCCUCGAGCGUAUGGGGCUUCGUCACCCGCACUUGUAGGCCCGGCCGGCGCUUGCCGACACAUCAAUCUUUUUUCCAGGUUGACCUCGGAUCAGGUAGGGAUACCCGCUGAACUUAAGCAUAUCAAUAAGCGGAGGA
rnacentral:misc_RNA from 1 species